rnacentral:rRNA from 1 species
CCAACCCCAACUCGGUGGAACAUAACCUUUAACGGUCGGCUUGGCGGGACUUCGCGCUCGCCGGGGACCAAACCUUUCUGAAUCUUUAAUAAGUAUCUUCUGAGUGGUUAAAAAAAAUGAAUCAAAACUUUCAACAACGGAUCUCUUCGGUUCUGGCAUCGAUGAAGAACGCAGCGAAAUGCGAUAAGUAAUGUGAAUUCGCAGAAUUCAGUGAAUCAUCGAAUCUUUGAACGCACAUUGCGCCCGUCAGUAUUCUGGCGGGCAUGCCUGUUCGAGCGUCAUUACGCCCCUCAAGUCCCCUGUGGACUUGGUGUUGGGGAUCGGCGAGGCUGGUUUUCCAGCACAGCCGUCCCUUAAAUUAAUUGGCGGUCUCGCCGUGGCCCUCCUCUGCGCAGUAGUAAAGCACUCGCAACAGGAGCCCGGCGCGGUCCACUGCCGUAAAACCCCCCAACUUUUUAUAGUUGACCUCGAAUCAGGUAGGACUACCCGCUGAACUUAAGCAUAUGAAUAAAGCCGGAGGAA